CUUCUUUACACGUAAAAUAAGCUGGAAUGCUAUCAGUAGCAAAUAGAUAUUUUUUUAUUAUUCAUUUAUUUUUGAUGAUGGAGUCUUUAAAUCGACGAUCAAUACCGUUGAAUAUGAUCUAUACCACUCGAAGCAUCUAGAAACUAAAUUUCAUAUUUUUUUCGAUAUUAUUCUCUUGUCCAUCAAGUCGACACAGAAAUUAACGGUUAAAAAUAAAUAUUCUUUAAAAAUUUAAGAUAGGAAUUUUGUAAUUAAGAUCAAAAGUAUAAAUCUUAGUUUAAAUAGUUUAAAAAAUUUUCUAACUAAAAUUUAAUUAAUUUGGAUAUCUCUACACCAUUAAAUUAGAAAAUGCAUCAUAUUGACUAUUAAAAUUAUAUUUUUUUGUAUCCUUUUGAUUAUUACGUCAAUAAUGUCGAAAGAUUUAAAAUUUGAUUUCAAGAUAUUUCAAAUAGUAUAAAUCAUGUUCGACGGUGCUGAUCAUCGAUUUGGAGACUUUAUCAUCGAAAAUUAAUGGAUAGCAACGAAAUCCGUUUGUUAUUUAUAGUAUUUCAGCUCAACUUAGUAUAUAUAUAUAUAUAGAGAGAGAGAGAGAGAGAGAGAGAAUUAGGCCGGAAUAUUAUUAAUAGUAAAACNUCUAUAUAUAUAUAUAUAUAUAUAUAUAUAGAGUAGGGCUAGAAUACUUGUAAAAGUAUCAUGGGGGUGAUACUUGUGUGUUUUUAGCACUUGGAUAGAGAGAUGUGAGGUUGAGAUGAUGGUGGUAGGUGGUGAUAGGUGGAAUAGUGUUUAAUCCAAGGACUAUUAAUAAUCAAAAAGUAGAUCCAAUGGCUGAAAACCUAAUAGCACUAUGAUGAUGAUACUUGUAAAAGUAUCAUAGCUCAACUCUAUAUAUAUAUAUAUAUAUAGACGAAAA
rnacentral:lncRNA from 1 species